rnacentral:rRNA from 1 species
CAUGCAGUCGAGCGGCAGCACAGAGAACUUGUUUCUCGGGUGGCGAGCGGCGGACGGGUCGAGUAAUGCCUGGGAAAUUGCCCUGAUGUGGGGGAUAACCAUUGGAAACGAUGGCUAAUACCGCAUGAUGCCUACGGGCCAAAGAGGGGGACCUUCGGGCCUCUCGCGUCAGGAUAUGCCCAGGUGGGAUUAGCUAGUUGGUGAGGUAAGGGCUCACCAAGGCGACGAUCCCUAGCUGGUCUGAGAGGAUGAUCAGCCACACCGGAACUGAGACACGGUCCAGACUCCUACGGGAGGCAGCAGUGGGGAAUAUUGCACAAUGGGCGCAAGCCUGAUGCAGCCAUGCCGCGUGUGUGAAGAAGGCCUUCGGGUUGUAAAGCACUUUCAGUUGUGAGGAAGGUGGUGUUGUGAAUAGCAGCAUCAUUUGACGUUAGCAACAGAAGAAGCACCGGCUAACUCCGUGCCAGCAGCCGCGGUAAUACGGAGGGUGCGAGCGUUAAUCGGAAUUACUGGGCGUAAAGCGCAUGCAGGUGGUUUGUUAAGUCAGAUGUGAAAGCCCCGGGCUCAACCUGGGAAUUGCAUUUGAAACUGGCAAACUAGAGUACUGUAGAGGGGGGUAGAAUUUCAGGUGUAGCGUGAAUGCGUAAAGAUCUGAAGGAUACCGGUGGCGAAGGCGCCCCCUGACGAUACUGACACUCAGAUCCAAAGCUGGGGAGCAACCGGAUA